rnacentral:snoRNA from 21 species
CUUCCAUGAUGAGAAUCUUUCAAUUCAGUUCUGCUUCUGAACAAGAAUGAAGAUACCCCAUACCAAAAUAAUCUCUGAUAU